UACGUAGGGGGCGAGCGUUGUCCGGAUUUAUUGGGCGUAAAGAGCUCGUAGGCGGUUUGGUAAGUUGGAUGUGAAAUCUCCAGGCUCAACUUGGAGGGGUCAUUCGAUACUGCCAUGACUAGAGUUCGGUAGGGGAGUGUGGAAGUUCCUGGUGGAGCGGUGAAAUGCGCAGAUAUCAGGAGGAACACCCGUAGCGAAGGCGGCACUCUGGGCCGAUACUGACGCUGAGGAGCGAAAGCGUGGGGAGCGAACAGG
rnacentral:rRNA from 1 species